rnacentral:rRNA from 1 species
CCUAGGGGGUGCUGCAGUGGGGAAUAUUGGACAAUGGGCGAAAGCCUGAUCCAGCCAUGCCGCGUGUGUGAAGAAGGCCUUCGGGUUGUAAAGCACUUUCAGUGGGGAAGAAAGCCUUGGGGCUAAUACCCUCGAGGAAGGACAUCACCCACAGAAGAAGCACCGGCUAACUCCGUGCCAGCAGCCGCGGUAAUACGGAGGGUGCGAGCGUUAAUCGGAAUUACUGGGCGUAAAGCGCGCGUAGGCGGUCUGAUAAGCCGGUUGUGAAAGCCCCGGGCUCAACCUGGGAACGGCAUCCGGAACUGUCAGGCUAGAGUGCAGGAGAGGAAGGUAGAAUUCCCGGUGUAGCGGUGAAAUGCGUAGAGAUCGGGAGGAAUACCAGUGGCGAAGGCGGCCUUCUGGACUGACACUGACGCUGAGGUGCGAAAGCGUGGGUAGCAAACAGGAUUAGAUACCCCAGUAGUC